UGCUGCCAGCCUUGUAGGCUUUGAGUUUAGAGACGUGGAAUACGUCGUGCAUGCGCAAGUGCGCCGGGAGCUGUAGUCGAACCGCGGCUUCGCCCACCUUGGCAGUGAUGGGGAAGGGGCCGAUGUAGCGUGGCAUGAACUUGCCAAGGCCUUUCGUGUUGGGUGCCCGGAACGUGAAGUUCUUGGUGCUCAGCAGGACUUGCUGUCCAACCUCAAACUGGGCUUCGCGGCGCGUUUUGUCCGCGUAUUUGGCUUGGCGCUG
rnacentral:lncRNA from 1 species